rnacentral:tRNA from 1 species
GCGAGGGUAACCAAGCCAGGCCAACGGUGUUGGACUUAAGAUCCAAUCUCGCAGGAGUUCGUGGGUUCGAAUCCCUCCCCUCGCA